UGCUUCUUGGGUGACGAGCGGCGGACGGGUGAGUAAUGCAUAGGAAUCUGCCCGAUAGUGGGGGAUAACCUGGGGAAACCCAGGCUAAUACCGCAUACGUCCUACGGGAGAAAGGGGGCUCCGGCUCCCGCUAUGGGAUGAGCCUAUGUCGGAUUAGCUAGUUGGUGAGGUAACGGCUCACCAAGGCAACGAUCCGUAGCUGGUCUGAGAGGAUGAUCAGCCACAUCGGGACUGAGACACGGCCCGAACUCCUACGGGAGGCAGCAGUGGGGAAUAUUGGACAAUGGGCGCAAGCCUGAUCCAGCCAUGCCGCGUGUGUGAAGAAGGCCCUCGGGUUGUAAAGCACUUUCAGCGAGGAAGAACGCCUAGCGGUUAAUACCCGCUAGGAAAGACAUCACUCGCAGAAGGAGCACCGGCUAACUCCGUGCCAGCAGCCGCGGUAAUACGGAGGGUGCAAGCGUUAAUCGGAAUUACUGGGCGUAAAGCGCGCGUAGGUGGCUUGAUAAGCCGGUUGUGAAAGCCCCGGGCUCAACCUGGGAACGGCAUCCGGAACUGUCAAGCUAGAGUGCAGGAGAGGAAGGUAGAAUUCCCGGUGUAGCG
rnacentral:rRNA from 1 species